rnacentral:rRNA from 1 species
UGGGGAAUUUUCCGCAAUGGGCGAAAGCCUGACGGAGCAAUGCCNCGUGGAGGUGGAAGGCCUACGGGUCGUCAACUUCUUUUCUCGGAGAAGAAACAAUGACGGUAUCUGAGGAAUAAGCAUCGGCUAACUCUGUGCCAG